CAGCCGCCACGGUAAUACAGAGGGUGCGAGCGUUAAUCGGAUUUACUGGGCGUAAAGCGUGCGUAGGCGGCUUUUUAAGUCGGAUGUGAAAUCCCUGAGCUUAACUUAGGAAUUGCAUUCGAUACUGGGAAGCUAGAGUAUGGGAGAGGAUGGUAGAAUUCCAGGUGUAGCGGUGAAAUGCGUAGAGAUCUGGAGGAAUACCGAUGGCGAAGGCAGCCAUCUGGCCUAAUACUGACGCUGAGGUACGAAAGCAUGGGGAGCAAACAGGAUUAGAGACCCCUGUAGUCCCUGUCUCUUAUAA
rnacentral:rRNA from 1 species